AUUAUAUUAUAGUAUUGAUUGCGACGAAGGUGGAAUUUUGCUCCGAGCAGCUAGUAGCGACGACAGCGAGCGGCGACGGCGACGACGGCUAGCAGCAGUUAGUCUCAAUCGCACCUCUCUCACUCACUCAGCGAGUGACGACGCCUAGAGACAAUGGAAACAGAUGAAGCUCAAAGGGUUCUUCCAUUUCAGCUUCAGUUUGACAAACCACUCCCUUCUCAGAAUGGAACCCAGAAAAGGAGUAAAUCUCGCCAUGGUUACUGAGGACUCUAAAAUUCUUCCCUAUCGUUUCAAUUGGCAACGUUGGACUGUAUCCCUAGGAAAAUGCAUAAUAUCCUUGUGUUGGCGUCCCGAAUAUGAUGAAGACCAAGAAGCAUCAAGUUUCCACUUAAGGGCAAGAUUUCUCAUUUGAAACCCAAUAGUAGCUUCUUUCAAUCUUCCCAUUGUAAGGAAUAAUACCAUCUGCAAUUUAUUUCAACAGGUUGUUGACACCUGAUAUGUGUUUCUACUCCCAUUGUGACAAAAUCAUUUUCAAACUUCCUCACUUUACCCUCUCAACCAUCAAAAACUCUCAUAGUAAAUCUUUGUUAAAAAACAGGGCAAUUAUAUGUAAACUUUGUAGGGGAAAGCAAGUGCUUAUGUUAACAUCUAAGGAUCACCUUUGUGAAGGUAGUCAACUAAAUGAGUCAUAGACGAGGGCAUGGAAGAUCCAUUUGCAAUGCUAUAGAUAUCCAGAAUUUUCAACUCCACCAUGGCUGUAUUGGACCAAUUUUUAAAGAGUUCACUUCUUUAAUGAAAAUUGAGAUCAGUAGACAAAUGAUAGACAUCUUGUUUGGUGUGUGGGUUACAUGUGCAUUAGAGAGAGACAUAGAGCUGAAAAGUUUGAGAAGUUUUGUUUGGGGUAGCGUUGCAAAUGAAGGUUAAUUGAUAGCUGACACAGAUAACAUACCAGAAAGAAAGUUCAGCUUACAGAAUGAAGCUGCAAAUAUUAUAUUCUGAGUGCUAAUCGCAUCCUCCUAAGUCCAAAAUAUUGACAAAAUGUUCUAAAGUCAUUUUUUUUUUCUUGUUUAGAGAAGUGAUGCUAGUUUAUAAUAUGUGAGCCUUUUAAAUGUUGCUAAAGCACAACCUUUAAGAUGCAUAUUUUGGGUAAUAUAGAUGAUAUUGAUACCUUUUUUUGUUGACUCUUGUGCUUGUUUCUGUAUGACUUUUGUCGUAGUGAUGAAAGUUUUCCCUUUUGAACCUCAAGAAUUUUAAUGUAUGUCUGAUUCUUAGUUGCAGGAAUCGUGGAACCAGGUGGCGAUUCUGAGUAAGAAUCGCGAUUCCGCGCUUCCUAGAAAGAAACGCGUAAGAAUCGCGUUUCUGUGGUGAGAGAAACGCGAUCCAGUCCAAGAUGGGAUUGUAAGGGGGAGAGAGAGAGAGAGAGAGAGACCUGAAUUCGCUGUCUUCUUCUCCUUCGACAUCGAUGUCGACCUUUGACAUCGCCUGGACCUUCGAUCUGCUCUCGCCUCGCAAUCUGCUCGCGAUCGCUCUCGCCUUCGAUCUUCUCGACAUCGCCUUCGCCAUCGCCCUUCUUCUUCUUCGAUCUGCUUCCUCUUCUCUCUCUCUCUCUC